rnacentral:rRNA from 1 species
UACGGGGGGGGCAAGCGUUGUUCGGAAUUACUGGGCGUAAAGGGCUCGUAGGUGGCCAACUAAGUCAGACGUGAAAUCCCUCGGCUUAACCGGGGAACUGCGUCUGAUACUGGAUGGCUUGAGUUUGGGAGAGGGACGCGGAAUUCCAGGUGUAGCGGUGAAAUGCGUAGAUAUCAGGAGGAACACCGGUGGUGUAGACGGCUUUCUGGACCGUAACUGACGCUGAGACACGAAAGCGUGGGUAGCAAACAGG